rnacentral:rRNA from 1 species
GUCUACGGCCAUGCUACCCUGAACAAGCUGGAUCCCUUCUGAUCUCGGAAGCUAAGCAGGGUCAGGCCUGGUUAGUACUUGGAUGGGAGACCACCUAGAAAGAUGAGGUGCUGUAGGUG